rnacentral:rRNA from 11 species
AAAUUGAAGAGUUUGAUCAUGGCUCAGAUUGAACGCUGGCGGCAGGCCUAACACAUGCAAGUCGAACGGUAACAGGAAGCAGCUUGCUGCUUUGCUGACGAGUGGCGGACGGGUGAGUAAUGUCUGGGAAACUGCCUGAUGGAGGGGGAUAACUACUGGAAACGGUGGCUAAUACCGCAUAACGUCGCAAGACCAAAGAGGGGGACCUUCGGGCCUCUUGCCAUCAGAUGUGCCCAGAUGGGAUUAGCUUGUUGGUGAGGUAACGGCUCACCAAGGCGACGAUCCCUAGCUGGUCUGAGAGGAUGACCAGCCACACUGGAACUGAGACACGGUCCAGACUCCUACGGGAGGCAGCAGUGGGGAAUAUUGCACAAUGGGCGCAAGCCUGAUGCAGCCAUGCCGCGUGUAUGAAGAAGGCCUUCGGGUUGUAAAGUACUUUCAGCGGGGAGGAAGGUGUUGUGGUUAAUAACCGCAGCAAUUGACGUUACCCGCAGAAGAAGCACCGGCUAACUCCGUGCCAGCAGCCGCGGUAAUACGGAGGGUGCAAGCGUUAAUCGGAAUUACUGGGCGUAAAGCGCACGCAGGCGGUCUGUCAAGUCGGAUGUGAAAUCCCCGGGCUCAACCUGGGAACUGCAUUCGAAACUGGCAGGCUUGAGUCUUGUAGAGGGGGGUAGAAUUCCAGGUGUAGCGGUGAAAUGCGUAGAGAUCUGGAGGAAUACCGGUGGCGAAGGCGGCCCCCUGGACAAAGACUGACGCUCAGGUGCGAAAGCGUGGGGAGCAAACAGGAUUAGAUACCCUGGUAGUCCACGCCGUAAACGAUGUCUACUUGGAGGUUGUGCCCUUGAGGCGUGGCUUCCGGAGCUAACGCGUUAAGUAGACCGCCUGGGGAGUACGGCCGCAAGGUUAAAACUCAAAUGAAUUGACGGGGGCCCGCACAAGCGGUGGAGCAUGUGGUUUAAUUCGAUGCAACGCGAAGAACCUUACCUGGUCUUGACAUCCACGGAAGUUUUCAGAGAUGAGAAUGUGCCUUCGGGAACCGUGAGACAGGUGCUGCAUGGCUGUCGUCAGCUCGUGUUGUGAAAUGUUGGGUUAAGUCCCGCAACGAGCGCAACCCUUAUCCUUUGUUGCCAGCGAUUAGGUCGGGAACUCAAAGGAGACUGCCAGUGAUAAACUGGAGGAAGGUGGGGAUGACGUCAAGUCAUCAUGGCCCUUACGACCAGGGCUACACACGUGCUACAAUGGCGCAUACAAAGAGAAGCGACCUCGCGAGAGCAAGCGGACCUCAUAAAGUGCGUCGUAGUCCGGAUUGGAGUCUGCAACUCGACUCCAUGAAGUCGGAAUCGCUAGUAAUCGUGGAUCAGAAUGCCACGGUGAAUACGUUCCCGGGCCUUGUACACACCGCCCGUCACACCAUGGGAGUGGGUUGCAAAAGAAGUAGGUAGCUUAACCUUCGGGAGGGCGCUUACCACUUUGUGAUUCAUGACUGGGGUGAAGUCGUAACAAGGUAACCGUAGGGGAACCUGCGGUUGGAUCACCUCCUUACCUUAAAGAAGC